ACGACCUUACUUGAACAGGAUCUGUUCUAUAGGCUCGUACCUCUGUAUCCUUGAGUUCUAAGGAGACAGGAAACGGAGACAGGAAACCAAGCCUGGUGGAUGAACUAUGGCCAAGAGAUUAGAGCGUGAUUAACAGCUCCAGACCUUAAUUGGGCUGAGCCGUAGAGGAUCGUUCUCAGCCCAUGAGCUCAUGGUUGGGAUGGUCUCUUGGCUGUCUGACUGGCU
rnacentral:snoRNA from 1 species